AACGAACGCUGGCGGCAUGCCUAACACAUGCAAGUCGAACGCGACCUUCGGGUCUAGUGGCGCACUGGUGCGUAACGCGUGGGAUCCUGCCCUUAGGUUCGGAAUAACUCCCCGAAAGGGGUGCUAAUACCGGAUAAUGUCUUCGGACCAAGGAUUUAUCGCCUUUGGAUGGGCCCGCGUUGGAUUAGAUAGUUGGUAGGGUAAAAGCCUACCAAGGAGACGAUCCAUAGCUGGUCUGAGAGGGUGAUCAGCCACACUGGGACUGAGACACGGCCCAGACUCCUACGGGAGGCAGCAGUGGGGAAUAUUGUACAAUGGGCGAAAGCCUGAUCCAGCAAUGCCGCGUGAGUGAUGAAGGCCUUAGGGUUGUAAAGCUCUUUUACCCGGGAUGAUAAUGACAGUACCGGGAGAAUAAGCUCCGGCUAACUCCGUG
rnacentral:rRNA from 1 species